AUGGAAUUGGAGGCCCCGGUGGUCGAAGCAGAUCCGGGGAGAAGAAUCACAAGAGGAGCAGGAGGCGGCGGCGGCGGCGGCGAGGGGGAGGGCCCGGCUGGUCGGACCACCCUCCUGCCCUGCCUCAACUGCGACAUCCAGGUGGUGCACAAGCUGGCGCAGCUGCUCCUCCCGGGCCUGGCCGCGGCGUGCGUCGACAGCACCCUCGGGAGCCCCUCCUCCGCGCUCGCCGUCCAGCUGCGCGCGGAGCUGGUCCGCUACGUCGCGCACCGCAGCAGCAGCCCGCCCGAGGCGGAGGAGGAGGAGGACCCGAUCGACCGCGACGACCCGGCCGAGGCGCUGGCCGCGUUCCUGGACGACUUCGCGGGCAGCAAGAGGAGCGUCGCCGUCUCCAUCGCCGGCUGGCUCCCGUACCUGGGCGGCGGCGACGACGGCCGCGACGACCGGAUCGAGGACCUCGUCGAGGAGAUGGAGGCGAGCCGCUUCUGGCCGGUCGAGAGGCGGGAGGCCGUCGCGCGGGACCUCCUCCGCGGCCUGGACGCCGGCGGCGGCCGGUUCCGCUGCCGCGAGGAGCUGGGGACGCCGGAGGAGCUCGCGGACCACGUCGCCGCGCGCUGCGGAUUCAGGCCCGUGCGGUGCCGGAACCAGGCCCAGGGCUGCCGGGCCGAGGUCUCCGCCUGCCGCGCCGACGCGCACGACGAGGCGUGCGCCUUCAAGCUCCUCCCCUGCGAGCAGCGCUGCGGCCUCGCCGUCGCCCGCCGCCAGAUGGACCGGCACUGCGUCACCGUCUGCCCCAUGAAGCUCGCCAACUGCCCCUUCUUCCAGCUCGGCUGCGAGUCCGCCUUCCCGGCCUGCAACCUCGGGUCGCACUGCGCCGAGUUCCUUCGGCCACACCUCCGCCUGCUCCUUAGUCCCAGCAAGAUCGGCGCCGGUCGUCUGGAUCCGGAGGAGCGUCUUCUACGGCUGGAGAAGCAUGAUUCCGAUGGUGCGUUGGGCGAAGCUUUGGACGUGAGGUCUCUCACUAACGCCAUUGCUCAGCUAGAGAAGAAGAUGGACGCUGAAGAUGGUUCCCCCGGUUACACCGGAGACGACAACAAAGAAGCAAUGCCCACACAAGAUUCCAACUCCGCAGCUCUGCACUAG
rnacentral:rRNA from 1 species